GCCGGGGGACGAGGGAAGAACUUCCUGCGCCUCCCCGCCUCCCCGCGGCCCUCCCCCCGGGCCGCUGCUCCUCGUUCCUUCCCGAGGGCAUCCCCGUCCCCAGAGGGCCGGGCUGGGACCCUCGGCCAGGCUUUCUGCGCCCCAGGAAGCGGGAAGCCGGAACGCAGGGAGGUCUUUGCCGCCAGCUUCCAGCCCUCUGAAGCGGGGAGUGGAAAAAAGUAAAAGUAAAGACAAAUGGCCGGGAUAAGAACACCAUUUAUCCCUUUAACAAACACUGUAGGGACCGAAUGCCUCCUGAGUCGGGCCCUGUUCUAGGGCUGCAGACAUGAAACCAGGCAGAAGUCUCCGCCCUCGCGAAGCCGGCCUCAAGUUAGUUGUCAAGCAAGUGCCAGGGCGGGCGGAGCACGAAGAGCGCCCACACCUCCUGUCCGAGAGCCGAGGCGAACGACGGGCCAGAGGGCAGGAUGCUAAGGCCGAUAGGGAAGGCCCCGUCUCUGACGGUGAGGGCGCCGCCGUCUAGCAGACACAGGCCUUGGUAGUGUCUUACUUGAGCAGCUCCUGAAGGCCAGUGUGAAUCCAUCUUUGCGCAAAGAGUGCCUGGCCCACAGAGCUCAUAAAGAAACACUCGAGACUGACUGACAGGUUUCUGGACUGGGGUCACUUACAUUCGCCCUGGAAUUGCAGCAUGGAGGUUGUAUUUGAAAAGGUACACACGAUCUAGAAUAAUCCCCCACCUCUGCGUUUCACCUCAUCCAUAGUCUACCGAUUGCUUUGGCACUGGCCUUAUAAAUAAAGCCCGCCAGGUGCCCCUGCAGGACUCCAGACCAAAUCCUCCCACAUCUCCAUUGCCUGGGUUCUCUUCCGUGUCCUUGCACUAGUGUCUCUUGAACUGCUCUUGCCCUUGGCAAGGUUGCUUGUUUUAACACUGUAUCAUCCUCUGCUCCGUUCUGCUUAUAAACCCUUCCUAGGAAAGUGGGAUCCUUGCAUCGAAAGUAAAUUUUAUAUAACCCCCGGAGCCUGCACAGUUACUAAACAAUAGAUUCUGAAUGAAUAUGGCUUUGUUUUGGCCUAAAGCAUUUUCCCCGAGGAAAGGCAUCUGUUCCGCCCACCAGGAGAAAAUAAUUGGGAACAUUCUUUGUGGUUUUCAUGUUUUCUUAAACCUUCGGCAGGCAUGCCCACUCCGGCUGAAUAUAUGUGGAGCGCCACCUACAAAUGCCUCAUGAGGAACAGGCCGGAAGAUCUGUCACCCCUUACCUCCCCGUGUGCAGCUGGAAUGAGAAGGGCUUGCUUGCAGAGGCAAAUGGCAGAGACUUGUGUGGGGGCCCCGCUCUCAGAGGAGGAGACAUACUUUCUCACUGUGGCCUUUUGAAGAAGGGGAGUCCAGAGAUGGGCAGCUAAAGGUGUGCGGCCCAGAGAAACGGGAGAUAAGGACAGGCCUUGAGGUGGCUUUGCCCGUUGAACUCAAGCUGCUGUUUCCUUCUGGAAAUCACGGUUGAGUAUGCAAAGGUUUUUUGUCAGAAUCUCAGAAGUGCUUGUCUGACUCAGAACCCAGAGCGAGUAAGUAGCCAGAAACAGCCCCAGAGAAAGAGGAGCCCUGGCCAACUCAGAGCCACCACGAAAGAUGGUUUCAC